rnacentral:rRNA from 1 species
ACCCUGGUAGUCCAUGCCGUAAACGUUGGGCACUAGGUGUGGGGGACAUUCCACGUUCUCCGCGCCGUAGCUAACGCAUUAAGUGCCCCGCCUGGGGAGUACGGCCGCAAGGCUAAAACUCAAAGGAAUUGACGGGGGCCCGCACAAGCGGCGGAGCAUGCGGAUUAAUUCGAUGCAACGCGAAGAACCUUACCAAGGCUUGACAUUCACCGGACUACCUCAGAGAUGGGGUUUCCCUUCGGGGUCGGUGGACAGGUGGUGCAUGGUUGUCGUCAGCUCGUGUCGUGAGAUGUUGGGUUAAGUCCCGCAACGAGCGCAACCCUCGUUCUAUGUUGCCAGCACGUGAUGGUGGGGACUCAUAGGAGACUGCCGGGGUCAACUCGGAGGAAGGUGGGGAUGACGUCAAAUCAUCAUGCCCCUUAUGUCUUGGGCUUCACGCAUGCUACAAUGGCCGGUACAAAGGGUUGCGAUACUGUGAGGUGGAGCUAAUCCCAAAAAGCCGGUCUCAGUUCG